CUUGGACUCUCUCACAUCUAUUGUCCAUCUUCUUCCUCUGCAAGUGCAGAAACCAAGACCACCACCACUACCACCGUAUGUCAACGAAUCCGGCGAGUUCCACCACCUCCGAUUAGAUUAACACGAAAUUAGCUCGGGGGUAACAAACCCAGUUUCCAGUGAGGGAUGCCAUGACUUGCAGGCCGUUUUCCGGCCACAACCAUGAACACUAGUGGUGCGUUUGUUAGUGGCGACUGUGUCUUCUCUAGUUUGCACAACUCUUCAACGACGGAGUAUCGGUGA